rnacentral:rRNA from 1 species
AUUAGCCCAAGUGGGAUUAGCUAGUUGGUGAGGUAAUGGCUCACCAAGGCGACGAUCCCUAGCUGGUUUGAGAGGAUGAUCAGCCACACUGGAACUGAGACACGGUCCAGACUCCUACGGGAGGCAGCAGUGGGGAAUAUUGCACAAUGGGCGCAAGCCUGAUGCANCCAUGCCGCGUGUGUGAAGAAGGCCUUAGGGUUGUAAAGCACUUUCAGUAAGGAGGAAAGGUUAGUAGUUAAUACCUGCUAGCUGUGACGUUACUUACAGAAGAAGCACCGGCUAACUCCGUGCCAGCAGCCGCGGUAAUACGGAGGGUGCGAGCGUUAAUCGGAAUUACUGGGCGUAAAGCGUACGCAGGCGGUUUGUUAAGCGAGAUGUGAAAGCCCCGGGCUCAACCUGGGAACUGCAUUUCNAAC